rnacentral:lncRNA from 1 species
GAAGAAAUCAAAAUUCUGCAAGUUGUGGACGAACCCCUUAGACAUACAAACAUGGGCAGACUUAUACACUUGAAAAUUUGAAGUUCGAAAUGUAAUGUGUUGCAGCUGGGUCAGUCGGGCAUGUAAUGUAUGUUGAGUUAGUAUCCGAUCCAGUACAUUGGAUUCAAUGUCUUCAUCCUGAGGUCGUUUAAUAUUACCAUUCACAACUAUAAUCAAAGUCCAAACAGUGACAUAAUACUUACCUUCAACAGGAAAAAGAUUGUUCAUAUCACAGACAAACGACAAAUAUAUUAAGACAAACAAUCAACUACUUUAGACCAUUUAAAUCAACUACCUUAACUUUGAAGAACUGUAAACACUGCCUUGCCUUCCCUUGGACUUUUAACAUUUCUCAAGUACUUGGCAAUUCACGGUGAUACAGUGAUGGAGCGGGAAGGGGAAGAACGCAGAGAAAACUAGGAAAAUAAGAGCUGGGAAAGAGAUAUAACAGAAUAGAAAAAAAAAACAACUUUUUAGGAUAAAAAUAACA